AUUGAACGCUGGCGGCAGGCCUAACACAUGCAAGUCGAACGAGUGGCGGACGGGUGAGUAAUGUCUGGGAAACUGCCCGGUGGAGGGGGAUAACUACUGGAAACGGUAGCUAAUACCGCAUACCAUCAGAGCGGCCGAGAUGGGAUUAGCUAGUUGGUGGGGUAACGGCUCACCAAGGCGACGAUCCCUAGCUGGUUUGAGAGGAUGACCAGCCACACUGGGACUGAGACACGGUCCAGACUCCUACGGGAGGCAGCAGUGGGGAAUAUUGCACAAUGGGGGCAAGCCUGAUGCAGCCAUGCCGCGUGUAUGAAGAAGGCCUUCGGGUUGUAAAGUACUUUCGGCGGGGAAGCGUUACCCGCAGAAGAAGCACCGGCUAACUCCGUGCCAGCAGCCGCGGUAAUAC
rnacentral:rRNA from 1 species